rnacentral:rRNA from 1 species
CGUGGCGGGGUGCUACAAUGCAGUCGAACGGUGAAGCAGAGCUUGCUCUGUGGAUCAGUGGCGAACGGGUGAGUAACACGUGAGCAACCUGCCCUUGACUCUGGGAUAAGCGCUGGAAACGGCGUCUAAUACCGGAUAUGAGCUGCGAUCGCAUGGUCAGCAGUUGGAAAGAUUUUUCGGUCUGGGAUGGGCUCACGGCCUAUCAGCUUGUUGGUGAGGUAAUGGCUCACCAAGGCGUCGACGGGUAGCCGGCCUGAGAGGGUGACCGGCCACACUGGGACUGAGACACGGCCCAGACUCCUACGGGAGGCAGCAGUGGGGAAUAUUGCACAAUGGGCGAAAGCCUGAUGCAGCAACGCCGCGUGAGGGAUGACGGCCUUCGGGUUGUAAACCUCUUUUAGCAGGGAAGAAGCGAAAGUGACGGUACCUGCAGAAAAAGCGCCGGCUAACUACGUGCCAGCAGCCGCGGUAAUACGUAGGGCGCAAGCGUUAUCCGGAAUUAUUGGGCGUAAAGAGCUCGUAGGCGGUUUGUCGCGUCUGCUGUGAAAUCCCGAGGCUCAACCUCGGGUCUGCAGUGGGUACGGGCAGACUAGAGUGCGGUAGGGGAGAUUGGAAUUCCUGGUGUAGCGGUGGAAUGCGCAGAUAUCAGGAGGAACACCGAUGGCGAAGGCAGAUCUCUGGGCCGUUACUGACGCUGAGGAGCGAAAGGGUGGGGAGCAAACAGGCUUAGAUACCCUGGUAGUCCACCCCGUAAACGUUGGGAACUAGUUGUGGGGUCCAUUCCACGGAUUCCGUGACGC